ACGCUCGACACCUACGGGAGCAGCAGUGGGGAAUAUUGCACAAUGGGGGAAACCCUGAUGCAGCGACGCCGCGUGGAGGAAGAAGGUCUUCGGAUUGUAAACUCCUGUUGUUGGGGAAAAAGAGGAUGGUACCCAACAAGGAAGUGACGGCUAACUACGUGCCAGCAGCCGACGGUAAUCUGGAGGCCGGGCGUGGACGAAGGC
rnacentral:rRNA from 1 species